UUGAUUCAAAUCAUGGAUUCAGACACGAGACGGAUUCCUGCAUUAAGACGGCGCCGAAGCGCCGAAGCACGGAUCGCUUCCACUGGUUUGGGGUUUGAAGGCCCGACGGGCCAUUCGGUAAUGAUCCCUCCGCAGGUUCACCUACGGAGA
rnacentral:misc_RNA from 1 species